rnacentral:rRNA from 1 species
GGUGCGGCGGCUAUAAUGCAGUCGAGCGGACAGAAGGGAGCUUGCUCCCGGAUGUUAGCGGCGGACGGGUGAGUAACACGUGGGUAACCUGCCUGUAAGACUGGGAUAACUCCGGGAAACCGGAGCUAAUACCGGAUAGUUCCUUGAACCGCAUGGUUCAAGGAUGAAAGACGGUUUCGGCUGUCACUUACAGAUGGACCCGCGGCGCAUUAGCUAGUUGGUGGGGUAAUGGCUCACCAAGGCGACGAUGCGUAGCCGACCUGAGAGGGUGAUCGGCCACACUGGGACUGAGACACGGCCCAGACUCCUACGGGAGGCAGCAGUAGGGAAUCUUCCGCAAUGGACGAAAGUCUGACGGAGCAACGCCGCGUGAGUGAUGAAGGUUUUCGGAUCGUAAAGCUCUGUUGUUAGGGAAGAACAAGUGCGAGAGUAACUGCUCGCACCUUGACGGUACCUAACCAGAAAGCCACGGCUAACUACGUGCCAGCAGCCGCGGUAAUACGUAGGUGGCAAGCGUUGUCCGGAAUUAUUGGGCGUAAAGGGCUCGCAGGCGGUUUCUUAAGUCUGAUGUGAAAGCCCCCGGCUCAACCGGGGAGGGUCAUUGGAAACUGGGAAACUUGAGUGCAGAAGAGGAGAGUGGAAUUCCACGUGUAGCGGUGAAAUGCGUAGAGAUGUGGAGGAACACCAGUGGCGAAGGCGACUCUCUGGUCUGUAACUGACGCUGAGGAGCGAAAGCGUGGGGAGCGAACAGGAUUAGAUACCCUGGUAGUCCACGCCGUAAACGAUGAGUGCUAAGUGUUAGGGGGUUUCCGCCCCUUAGUGCUGCAGCUAACGCAUUAAGCACUCCGCCUGGGGAGUACGGUCGCAAGACUGAAACUCAAAGGAAUUGACGGGGGCCC